rnacentral:lncRNA from 1 species
AGAUUUCUGAUUUCUCCAUUUUCCCUUCUAUCCAGGGAGCUCCCCAAACCAGCUAUGGCUAGCAACGUUCUAAUUCUGCUGAGGCACUGUGAAGUCAGGCUUCCAGAUCCCAUCUGCUCCCUACCUCAGUGUGAACAAUACUGUGGUGAUAUUUUGGUAUGCAUCUUUAUGUGAAAGGAUGAUAGAAAUGCUUCUUGAGAAUGAAAUUAAAAUUGGAGACCUAGUGACUUUUGCAACUAAAUCAGUGCUUUACAGCUUCCUUUGAACUAUUGCAACUUCUGUAAUACAUUAUACUGAUAACAUGCACUGGAUAAACCCAAAGAAACAAUGCACAAGAGAUUUAAGGAAGAAUGA